rnacentral:pre_miRNA from 1 species
CGAUUAUGAGAUGACUGGUGCAUGUUGAGAUUUGUACCCGUAAUCUUCAUAGUCCGA